rnacentral:rRNA from 1 species
GUUGAACGCUGGCGGCAGGCCUAAUACAUGCAAGUCGAACGAGUGGCGGACGGGUGAGUAACGUCUGGGAAACUGCUCGAUGGAGGGGGAUAACUACUGGAAACGGUAGCUAAUACCGCAUACCAUCGGAUGUUCCCUGUUGGGAUUCUCUAGUAGGUGGGGUAACGGCUGACCAAGGCGACGAUCCCUAGCUGGUCUGAGAGGAUGACCGGCCACACUGGAACUGAGACACGGUCCAGACUCCUACGGGAGGCAGCAGUAGGGAAUAUUGCGCAAUGGGCGCAAGCCUGAUGGAGCCAUGCCGCGUGUAUGAAGAAGGCCUUCGGAUUGUAAAGUUCUUUCAGCGGGGAGGCGUUACCUAAAGAAGAAGCACCGGCUAACUCCGUGCCAGCAGCCGCGGUAAUUC